UGGGCAACUAGCAUUCCUGAAAGGUGUCCU
rnacentral:piRNA from 1 species